GUGGGUCCCAUUUGCAUGAGCAGCCCCUCCUUUUGAGCUCUGUGGACUGGGGAUAAGAGAGGCCCAAAGCAGCCCAGCCCUGGCUCUGCGGUCUAGGAAGGGCGUGUGUCACCAUGGCCUGGAUCCCCGUCCUCGUCGUGCUCCUCUGCCACUGCACAGGUUCCCUGUCCCAGCCUGUCGUGACUCAGCCAGCCUCCCUCUCUGCAUCUCUGGGAACAACAGCCAGACUCACCUGCACUCUGAGCAAGGACAUCAAUGUUGGAAGCUAUAGCAUAUACUGGUACCAACAGAAUCCAGGGAGCCCUCCCCGGUAUCUCCUGUACUACUACUCAGACUCCAGUACACAGUUGGGACCUGGGGUCCCCACCCGCUUCUCUGGGUCCAAAGAUGCCUCGGCCAAUGCAGGGCUUCUGCUCAUCUCUGGGCUGCAGCCUGAGGACGAGGCUGACUAUUACUGUGCAAUCGGGCACAGUAGUGCUGAGAUUGUUUUCCCACCUGGGACCCCUUCAGUACUGCUUUCAGAUGGCUUAGGGAAGGAGCCAGCCUAG